AAUAAAGAAGGAGAAUACAGCCUUGUACAAAUUUUUUUCUAUCUUCCUUUUUUUUUUUUUUUUUUUUUAAAUUUUUUUUUUUUUUUUU
rnacentral:ribozyme from 1 species